rnacentral:rRNA from 1 species
GACGAACGCUGGCGGCGUGCUUAACACAUGCAAGUCGAACGGGAUCCCAAGGCUUUUUGUUUUUGGUGAGAGUGGCGAACGGGUGAGUAACACGUGAGUAACCUGCCCCCUUCUUUUGGAUAACCGCAUGAAAGUGUGGCUAAUACAGGAUAUUCCAGGCUGGUCGCAUGAUUGGUUUGGGAAAUGGUUUGGUCUGGUGGGGGAUGGGCUCGCGGCCUAUCAGCUUGUUGGUGGGGUGAUGGCCUACCAAGGCGGUGACGGGUAGCCGGCCUGAGAGGGUGGGCGGUCACACUGGGACUGAGAUACGGCCCAGACGCCUACGGGAGGCAGCAGUGGGGGAUUUUGCACAAUGGGCGCAAGCCUGAUGCAGCGACGCCGCGUGAGGGAUGAAGGCCUUCGGGUUGUAAACCUCUUUCGCUGGGUUGAAAGGCCAUGCUUUGGGUGUGGUUGAUUUGAACUGGUAAAGAAGUACCGGCUAACUACGUG